rnacentral:lncRNA from 1 species
GAGUCCUCCCCUUCCCUCUCCCUUCUGGAUCGCGCAGCAACAGAAAACUAUGGCCGGGGUAGCUAUGGGGGAGGAAGAAGAUCCGCCGCCAUUGGGGAAUUCACAUCGGGCUCCAUCGACGGUAUCGAGCGAGUGGCAGGUCCGCUCGGGGAAAGCUCUGGCAUUCGUCAACCGCUAACGCGGGCAUGGCCAGGAUGCUCGUCCAUGGCGCAUCUAUGGCGGGCGACAACCAGAGAGAGUGAGGGAGAGAAACAAAUCGUCGGCGCUGAUCCUCGCGGUCACCGCUACCUGGGACUCCAUGAUGGAAUCCGGGUGCUCACGGGUGUCCUCUGCAUGCGACCUUGGCCUCACAUGGCCGAAUCGACAGGCGGUGGGGAAGGAAUUUCUCGUUGGCGCAGCACGGUCACCUCAGAUCCGCCGUGCGCCGUGGUCCUGCACCUCCACCAUCGUUCGGGGGAUGCGACCGGGUCAUGGUGGUGCGCCAGCAUGCGUUGAACGUCACGGGGGCGCCAACAUGUGAGGAUGAGUCUUGGAGCCACUGCGAUUUCUUGCCGGAGCUCGCGUUCAACCUCUAAGACGUACCGUGCUGUGACCCGGCUCAUCGUCGCGGCAAUUCGCAGUAAGUAUAUACUCCUAUGUUCCACUUGCUUCCCUCUUCGGGUUGCAUCAUUCCCGUUGGAUAGUUGGCGGCCGGAGCGUGGAGCAUGGUUGCUCCGGUGGGGGCGCCGCCUCCCUGGGCGGAGCGCCGCCUUAUCCUGGUAGCAUGGGGGAGAAGACGCUCUUAUCACCGUUGGUUUGAGUAUUGGCGGCCACAAUUAGAUCUUCAACACUGACUCGGCUAGAUGAUUUUGGUCCGUUCGAUCGGUGAGGUGUGGAUAGGAUUUAAUAUUGAUUCAUAAAAUAUUGGUCGUAGAUUUGUGAUUGGGCGGUCCUACGCUGUCCAUGGAUCCAUAAUGCACUAGAUCUAAUAUGAACCAUCGGGCGCCGAUCCAACGGCUCAGAUCCUAGCGUACCCCUUCGCGCUGAGCGUUUUACAUAAGAAACCUUGCCCUUUUGAGAAAACAACCCGCAAUCCUGGCGGUUAUUUUGCUCCAGUGACCCUGUCUUUUAUAGAAAUUGAGGCGAAAUCCGGAAAAUAAAGAAAAUAGGAAAACAAGUUUAGAAAUUGAUUUUGAGUUUAAAAAAUAAUUGCAGAAACUCAUUUAAUUCAUGGAAAAUUCAUAUUAAGUCCAAAUGAGUUAAUUUCAAUUUCUAUAAUUCUAUAGCAUUAUUGUUUAUCAAAUAGUGCCACUGAUUUGACAUGAAAGCCAAUUUAAAAUCUAUUUCCUAAUUAAUCUUAUAUCAAAUACAUAAAACCUUAGUAAAUUCAUAACUCCUCCGUUUUAACUCUGAUUUGAUCCGUUCAAGUUGCGUUAGUCUCGUAUAAAUGUUUACUAUGCAAUAACACCAUUUAUUAUAUCAUGUCUCAUUAUUUUAUGAUUAGAUUUUUAUUUAACUUAUGUUGGUUAGUCUUGUUAAGGUGUUCAUCAUUAUUUACUAAAUUAUGAUCUAUGGUCAAUUUAUAACUUAGAUUGAAGUUGAGAUAAUUAUUUAUAGAAUAAUCUCUUAUAUGCUUUGUAUUAACCAAUUUAUAAUAUAGUUUAACAUUUUAAUCACAUAAAUCCUCCAUGAAACCAUAACUCCUUAACCGUAACUCCGAUUUUAGUGGUUCUCAUUCCCGCGAUCUCGUAGCAACGCGUAGAUUAUUAUUAUUUAGUUUGUACUUAUAUUUGGUGUGAUGUUAAUUUUGUAUAUACCAUGUUUGUUUGUAUUGCUACAACUAGCAGUGCGGUCAUGAGGAUCUGAAGAAUCACCCUGGUAACUGGAAUCUCAAGUGCCAAGCAAGUUGUGCCCUUGAUCACUUUCAUUUACCCAAUAAUGUUCUUUAUUAUCACUUAUCAAUGCAUAGGUUUAAUUUUGAUGGGACCCAAUAGGUCACCCUAGACUGGUUAUCCCUUUUUACCUUGUUUAUCCCUGAAUCGAUUGGGUAGCUAUGCUAUUGCUUUAUAUGGUUUUGGGAUAAUAUUUCAUUACAUCCAUGUUCCAAUUAUUCUGUUAUGUUAUUUAUGUUCAUGAUAAGAUCAUUAUGUUAAUUGGAAUAUGGAGCGACCACCUGGGAAAACAGUGCUACCACAAGGGUUUAAUAGGACGCCCUUGGCUGAUUAACUAGGAAAGCUAGUGGAUGACUACCUUACCCGAAAGGGGCAAGGGCAGUAGUGGAGUGGUCAGUGUAGAGAGGUCCUUGAGUUGAUUUUGCUGCGAUGGCGGUCAGGCGAGGGUUUCCUGCACUGGAGCUUCCUAUAAACUGUAGCGGAUUUUCUGAAGCUAGUGGAACUUUGUAAAGGCCUCGUAGUGUUACCCUGCCUCGCCUCCUCGGUAGAGGUGUAUGGGAUUGGCCGUCUCUUGGCAGAUGGGUAACAUGACUUGUGGGUAAAGAUGCGCAACCUCUGCAGAGUGUAAAAUUGGUAUACUAGUCGUGCUCACGGUCAUGAGCAGCUCGAACCCUCACAUAAUUAAUCUAUGGAAUUAAAACUUAAUUUGUCAUUUGCAUCGCAUUGGGAUUAUUUUAUUAUUACUUUUACUUAUAUUUAUUAAGGCUAGGUAUUUACUUAUAUUUAGUAAUUUGCUAAUAAAAUUUUGAACAACUUAUAAAAGCAAUGCUCAGCUUUAGCCUUUAUUUUGUUCAUCAGCCUUACACUUCACAUGAACUCCCACCUUUGGUGAGUUCAUGCACAUUAUUCCCCACAACUUGUUGAGCUAUGAACGUAUGUGAUCUCACUCUUGCUGUCUCACACCCCCACAGGAGAAGAACAUGUGGUCGAAGAGGAGCCGCCUAACUCUGAGGCUUUCGACUUGAUCUAGGUGGCGUCUCCCAGUCAGCUUUGUGGUGCCAGGGAAUAAUAUAGUUUGCUUUAUUUUAUCAUUUAUUUAUGUAAGACUUCCGCUAUGUAAUACGUAC